rnacentral:rRNA from 1 species
AAACCAACCGGGAUUGCCUUAGUAACGGCGAGUGAAGCGGCAAAAGCUCAAAUUUGAAAUCUGGUACCUUCGGUGCCCGAGUUGUAAUUUGGAGAGGGCAACUUUGGGGCCGUUCCUUGUCUAUGUUCCUUGGAACAGGACGUCAUAGAGGGUGAGAAUCCCGUGUGGCGAGG